GAUAACGUUGGCAGUGUGCCUAACACAUGCAAGUCGAGCGAUAUAGCGGCAGACGAGAGAGUACAAGCAAGGAACGUACCCCAAACUCAAGGAUAGCCACCCGAAAGGGUGGGUAAUCCUGGAUAGUCCCGAAAGGGUAAAGUUUUAUACGGUUUGGGAGCGGCCUUGCUCCUAUCAGCUAGUUGGUAAGGUAAUGGCUUACCAAGGCGAUGACGGGUAGCUGGCCCGAGAGGGUGACCAGCCUCGAUGGGACUGAGACACGGCCCAUACUCCUACGGGAGGCAGCAGUUGGGAAUUUUGCACAAUGGAGGAAACUCUGAUGCAGCAACACUGCGUGAAGGAUGAAGGUUCUAGGACUGUAAACUUCUUUUAUCUGGGAAUAAUCUUGAAGGUACCAGAUGAAUAAGCACCGGCUAACUACGUGCCAGCAGCCGCGGUAAUACGUAGGGUGCAAACGUUAUCCGGAUUUAUUGGGCGUAAAGCGCUCGUAGGUGGUUUGAAAAGUCAGAUAUUAAAUCUCCAGGCUCAACCUGGAAAAUGUAUCUGAAACUUUCAAACUCGAGGUAUGCAGGGGAAGAUGGAACACACGGUGUAGCAGUGGAAUGCGUAGAUAUCGUGUGGAACGCCAAAGGUGAAGACAAUCUUCUGGGCAUUACCUGACACUGAGGAGCGAAAGCGUGGGUAGCGAACGGGAUUAGAUACCCCGGUAGUCCACGCCGUAAACGAUGCAUACUAGACAUUUGGGGUAUCGACCCUCCGAGUGUCGAAGCUAACGCGUUAA
rnacentral:rRNA from 1 species